GGCUGCAUAGCUCAGAUGGUAGAGCACAAGGCUCUUAAUCUCAGGGUCAUGGGUUUGAGCCCCACGGUGGGCA